GUGCCAGGCGCCGCGGUACUACCGGCAGCUCGAGUGAUGGCCGAUCUUAUUGGGCCUAAAGCGUCCGUAGCUGGCCUCGCAAGUCCGUCGGGAAAUCCAGUAGCCCAACUACUGGGCGUCCGGCGGAAACUGCAAGGCUUGGGACCGGAAGGCUCGAGGGGUACGUCCGGGGUAGGAGUGAAAUCCUGUAAUCCCGAACGGACCACCGAUGGCGAAAGCGCCUCGAGAAGACGGCUCCGACAGUGAGGGACGAAAGCCAGGGUCUCCAACCGGAUUAGAAACCCUUGUAGUCC
rnacentral:rRNA from 1 species